rnacentral:rRNA from 1 species
AUGGUGGAUGCCUUGACUGGUAGAGGCGAUGAAGGACGUACUAGACUGCGAUAAGCUAGGUGGAGCUGUCAAGAAGCUUUGAUGCCUAGAUUUCCGAAUGGGGCAACCCAGUAUAUAGAGAUAUAUACUACCAUAAUGGAGCGAACGAGGGGAAUUGAAACAUCUUAGUACCCUCAGGAAAAGAAAUCAAACGAGAUUGCGUCAGUAGCGGCGAGCGAAAGCGUAAGAGGGCAAACCCAGUGCUUGCACUGGGGGUUGUAGGACUGCAAUGUGCAAGAGGAAAGGUUAGCAGAACACUCUGGAAAGUGUAGCCAUAGAGGGUGAUAGUCCCGUAUGCAAAAACCUAACUUUAGCUAGCAGUAUCCUGAGUAGGGCGGGACACGAGAAAUCCUGUCUGAAGCUGGGUAGACCACUAUCCAACCCUAAAUACUACUACCAGAUCGAUAGCGAACAAGUACCGUGAGGGAAAGGUGAAAAGAACGGCGGUGAGCCGAGUGAAAUAGAACCUGAAACCAUUUGCUUACAAUCAUUCAGAGCACUAUGUAGCAAUACAGUGUGAUGGACUGCCUUUUGCAUAAUGAGCCUGCGAGUUGUGGUGUCUGGCAAGGUUAAGCUAACGCGAAGCCGUAGCGAAAGCGAGUCUGAAUAGGGCGUAGCCAUCUCUUUUAUACAUAUAUUGAAAUUUAGGAGGAUAUGAUGGGAAGUGAAAAAAGCACUCAAGGUAUAAAAAUCCUUAUUUUUAACAAAAAACCUAAGGAAAAUGAAGAAAAAAAAGUUAGUGGCAUUGAACAACAAAAUGAUAAUGAAGGUAUUGUUGAUGCUUGGUUAAAGGAAAAACAUAGCAACUGGAUAGGCGAAAGUAUUACAAAAGUUAUACCUGAAUUGAAGGCAUUCUUAUUUGAAAAAGGUGUAACUAUUAUUAGCGAUAAGCAAAAUACUGAUUAUCAGUAUGAAAUUGUUGUAAGAAUACCUAAAAAUAAACCAUAGAAUAAAUCCUAAAUAUCCCUAAUUGUAUGUAUAAAUGAGGUGGCUUUAGUCAGAUGCUGCAGACCCGAAACGAAGUGAUCUAUCCAUGAGCAGGUUGAAGCUAGUGUAAGAACUAGUGGAGGACCGAACCCGCUAGCGUUGAAAAGCUAUGGGAUGACUUGUGGAUAGGGGUGAAAGGCCAAUCAAACUUCGUGAUAGCUGGUUCUCUCCGAAAUAUAUUUAGGUAUAGCGUUGUGUCGUAAUAUAAGGGGGUAGAGCACUGAAUGGGCUAGGGCAUACACCAAUGUACCAAACCCUAUCAAACUCCGAAUACCUUAUAUGUAAUCACAGCAGUCAGGCGGCGAGUGAUAAAAUCCGUCGUCAAGAGGGAAACAACCCAGACUAACAGCUAAGGUCCCCAAAUCUUACUUAAGUGGAAAACGAUGUGAAGUUACUUAAACAACCAGGAGGUUGGCUUAGAAGCAGCCAUCCUUUAAAGAAAGCGUAAUAGCUCACUGGUCUAGUGAUUUUGCGCGGAAAAUAUAACGGGGCUAAAGUAAGUACCGAAGCUUUAGGCUUGAUUUAUCAAGCGGUAGGAGAGCGUUCUAUUUGCGUCGAAGGUAUACCGACAAGGAGUGCUGGAGCGAAUAGAAGUGAGCAUGCAGGCAUGAGUAGCGAUAAUUAAUGUGAGAAUCAUUAACGCCGUAAACCCAAGGUUUCCUACGCGAUGCUCGUCAUCGUAGGGUUAGUCGGGUCCUAAGCUGAGUCCGAAAGGGGUAAGCGAUGGCAAAUAGGUUAAUAUUCCUAUACCAACAUUAGUGUGCGAUGGAAGGACGCUUAGGGCUAAGGGGGCUAGCGGAUGGAAGU